UACAGAGGUCUCAAGCGUUGUUCGGAUUCAUUGGGCGUAAAGGGUGCGUAGGCGGCGCGGUAAGUCGGGUGUGAAAUCUCGGAGCUUAACUCCGAAACUGCAUUCGAUACUGCCGUGCUUAAGGACUGGAGAGGAGACUGGAAUUUACGGUGUAGCGGUGAAAUGCGUAGAUAUCGUAAGGAAGACCAGUGGCGAAGGCGAGUCUCUGGACAUUUCCUGACGCUGAGGCGCGAAAGCGUGGGGGAGCAAACAGG
rnacentral:rRNA from 1 species